AGAGUUUGAUCCUGGCUCAGGACUAAUGCUGACGGUGUGCAUAAUACAUGCAAGUCGAACGUGCAAUAUGAAAGUAGCAAUACUUUUAUAAAGCAAGUGGCGAACGGGUGAGUAACGCGUGGAUAAUCUGCCUUAAAGACUGGAAUAACUCUCCGAAAGGAGUGCUAAUACCAGAUAUUUUAUAGUUUUCUAUGAUAACUAUAACAAAGGUAGCCGCAAGGCUUCCGCUUUAAGAUGAGUCCGCGUCCUAUUAGCUUGUUGGUAGGGUAAUGGCCUACCAAGGCUAUGAUGGGUAGCCGGUCUGAGAGGACGGACGGCCACACUGGGACUGAGAUACGGCCCAGACUCCUACGGGAGGCAGCAGUAGGGAAUAUUGCGCAAUGGGCGAAAGCCUGACGCAGCGACACCGUGUGUAGGAUGAAGAUCUUCGGAUUGUAACUACUGUCAGUUGAAGACGAAGGCAGUAGAGUUAAGAGCUCGAAUGCUGACGGUAUUCAAUUAGGAAGUCUCGGCUAACUCCGUGCCAGCAGCCGCGGUAAGACGGAGGAGGCAAGCAUUGUCCGGAAUUAUUGGGCGUAAAGAACACGUAGGCGGUUUGCCAAGUCAUAUGUGAAAACCUUGGGCUUAACUUAAGGAUUGCAUAUGAUACUGGUAAACUAGAGUAUAGUAGAGGAAAGUGGAAUUCCUGGUGUAGCGGUGAAAUGCGCAGAUAUCAGGAAGAACACCAGUGGCGAAAGCGGCUUUCUGGACUGUUACUGACGCUGAGGUGUGAAAGCUAGGGGAGCGAACAGGAUUAGAUACCCUGGUAGUCCUAGCCGUAAACGAUGGACACUAGGUGUGGGGAGUUAUCGACGCUCUCUGUGCCGAAGCUAACGCAUUAAGUGUCCCGCCUGGGGAGUACGGUCGCAAGACUAAAACUCAAAGGAAUUGACGG
rnacentral:rRNA from 1 species